rnacentral:rRNA from 1 species
CCCUUAGAUGUUCUGGGCCGCACGCGCGCUACACUGACGAAGUCAGCGAGCAUGUCCUACGCCGACAGGUGCGGGGAAUCUUGUCAAACUUCGUCGUGAUGGGGAUUGAUUAUUGAAAUUCUUGAUCAUCAACGAGGAAUUCCUAGUAAGCGCAAGUCAGCAGCUUGCGUUGAUUACGUCCCUGCCCUUUGUACACACCGCCCGUCGCUACUACCGAUUGAACGGUUUAGUGAGAUCUUCGGAUUGGCGCCACUGCGGCUCAGCAAUGGGCUCGGUGGAUGCCGAAAAGUUGAUCAAACUUGAUCAUUUAGAGGAAGUAGAAGUCGUAACA